CAAGGUUAACCGUAUAGGGGAGCCGCAGGGAAACCGAGUCUUAACUGGGCGUUAAGUUGCAGGGUAUAGACCCGAAACCCGGUGAUCUAGCCAUGGGCAGGUUGAAGGUUGGGUAACACUAACUGGAGGACCGAACCGACUAAUGUUGAAAAAUUAGCGGAUGACUUGUGGCUGGGGGUGAAAGGCCAAUCAAACCGGGAGAUAGCUGGUUCUCCCCGAAAGCUAUUUAGGUAGCGCCUCGUGAAUUCAUCUUCGGGGGUAGAGCACUGUUUCGGCUAGGGGGUCAUCCCGACUUACCAACCCGAUGCAAACUACGAAUACCGAAGAAUGUUAUCACGGGAGACACACGGCGGGUGCUAACGUCCGUCGUGAAGAGGGAAACAACCCAGACCGCCAGCUAAGGUCCCAAAGUCAUGGUUAAGUGGGAAACGAUGUGGGAAGGCACAGACAGCCAGGAUGUUGGCUUAGAAGCAGCCAUCAUUUAAAGAAAGCGUAAUAGCUCACUGGUCGAGUCGGCCUGCGCGGAAGAUGUAACGGGGCUAAACCAUGCACCGAAGCUGCGGCAGCGACACUAUGUGUUGUUGGG
rnacentral:ncRNA from 1 species